AUUGAACGCUGGCGGCAGGCCUAACACAUGCAAGUCGAGCGGAUGAAGGGAGCUUGCUCCUGGAUUCAGCGGCGGACGGGUGAGUAAUGCCUAGGAAUCUGCCUGGUAGUGGGGUAUAACGUCCGGAAACUGGCGCUAAUACCGCAUACGUCCUGAGGGAGAAAGUGGGGGAUCUUCGGACCUCACGCUAUGAGAUGAGCCUAGGUCGGAUUAGCUAGUUGGUGGGGUAAAGGCCUACCAAGGCGACGAUCCGUAACUGGUCUGAGAGGAUGAUCAGACACACUGGAACUGAGACACGGUCCAGACUCCUACGGGAGGCAGCAGUGGGGAAUAUUGGACAAUGGGCGAAAGCCUGAUCCAGCAAUGCCGCGUGUAUGAAGAAGGUCUUCGGAUUGUAAAGUACUUUAAGUUGGGAGGAAGCGCAGUAAGUUAAUACCUUGCUGUAUUGACGUUACCAAAAGAAUAAGCACCGGCUAACUACGUG
rnacentral:rRNA from 1 species